rnacentral:lncRNA from 1 species
GGGACACCGGGCGCGGAGGAAGCGCCAGCAUUGUCCUGCCCUGUGGUUCGCGCAAAUGUCUGCAGUCGUCUCGUUCGUGUUGGCAGCGCUGGUCACCCUCACCUACGU